AAAAAGACCGUCCCAGUUCGGAUUGCAGGCUGCAACCCGCCUGCAUGAAGUUGGAAUCGCUAGUAAUCGCGGAUCAGCAUGCCGCGGUGAAUACGUUCCCGGGCCUUGUACACACCGCCCGUCACACCAUGAGAGUCGGGAACACCCGAAGUCCAUAGUCUGACCGCAAGGGGGACGCGGCCGAAGGUGGGUUCGAUAAUUGGGGUGAAGUCGUAACAAGGUACC
rnacentral:rRNA from 1 species